GACCGGCCGGCCGCGGCGCUGGACACCUUACUUCCUGCUUCCCCGCCAGACCCAGCUCUGCGGAGGGAUAUCUCUCCCCUCCUCUGUCCCUCUCUCUCCCUUCCCCCGCCCUCCCCCUCUUUUUGCUUCUGCUCCCCCCCACCACCCCGCCUUUCUCCUUUUGCAAGAAAAUAAUUUGACAGUCGAUUUGCUGACAGGGGAGGAAUUUGCAUCCUGGAUUAAAAAAAAAAAAGGCCGAGAGGAGCUUGGGAACGGUUGCUAGGGCUCUGCUCGCCCCCCAUCUCACCCCCCAAGCGGAGACUGGUCUUCUUGUCGGAUUGCCCAUGCACUUGUUGCAGAAACAGCCAAGCGUGGAUUAUCCUCUAAACAAUAUACAUUACUUCUCUGGAGCUCAGUUUCUCCUUGCUUCAAGGUAAAGUAUAGAUGUCUCUUGCAUGAUGACCGUUAUUUGUUAAUUCACUGAGCUCUUUGGAUUUCUAUUGUGGAAAGACUAUGCAGAUGACCUGAAUUACCAUCAAAAGUGAUUAUUUCUGCCGAGCUGCAUUUCCUCAUGCUAUCUAGAGAAGACUUUGUGAGUGCUUCUCUCUCACCCAACACAAAGUGAGUGAGCAGUCAUUCCAUGCCCAGGGCACAGGAUGUGUCAGAUGUCUGGUCUGUAUCGGCGGAGAAACAGCAUCCUUCACUCAUACGAGUAAAUGUUGCUAAUAAUUGAUGGCAGAACUUUAGGGUCUCUGUGUAGUUUUCU
rnacentral:lncRNA from 1 species